rnacentral:rRNA from 1 species
GUUAUAUGGUCAAGUGAAGAAGCGCAUACGGUGGAUGCCUUGGCAGUCAGAGGCGAUGAAAGACGUGGUAGCCUGCGAAAAGCUUCGGGGAGUCGGCAAACAGACUUUGAUCCGGAGAUCUCUGAAUGGGGGAACCCACCUAGGAUAACCUAGGUAUCUUGUACUGAAUCCAUAGGUGCAAGAGGCGAACCAGGGGAACUGAAACAUCUAAGUACCCUGAGGAAAAGAAAUCAACCGAGAUUCCCUUAGUAGUGGCGAGCGAACGGGGAUUAGCCCUUAAGCUUCAUUGAUUUUAGCGGAACGCUCUGGAAAGUGCGGCCAUAGUGGGUGAUAGCCCCGUACGCGAAAGGAUCUUUGAAGUGAAAUCGAGUAGGACGGAGCACGAGAAACUUUGUCUGAACAUGGGGGGACCAUCCUCCAAGGCUAAAUACUACUGACUGACCGAUAGUGAACCAGUACCGUGAGGGAAAGGCGAAAAGAACCCCGGAGAGGGGAGUGAAAUAGAACCUGAAACCGUAUGCGUACAAGCAGUGGGAGCCUACUUGUUAGGUGACUGCGUACCUUUUGUAUAAUGGGUCAGCGACUUAUAUUCAGUGGCAAGCUUAACCGUAUAGGGUAGGCGUAGCGAAAGCGAGUCUUAAUAGGGCGUUUAGUCGCUGGGUAUAGACCCGAAACCGGGCGAUCUAUCCAUGAGCAGGUUGAAGGUUAGGUAACACUGACUGGAGGACCGAACCCACUCCCGUUGAAAAGGUAGGGGAUGACUUGUGGAUCGGAGUGAAAGGCUAAUCAAGCUCGGAGAUAGCUGGUUCUCCUCGAAAGCUUAUUUAGGUAGCGCCUCAUGUAUCACUCUGGGGGGUAGAGCACUGUUUCGGCUAGGGGGUCAUCCCGACUUACCAAACCGAUGCAAACUCCGAAUACCCAGAAGUGCCGAGCAUGGGAGACACACGGCGGGUGCUAACGUCCGUCGUGAAAAGGGAAACAACCCAGACCGCCAGCUAAGGUCCCAAAGUUGUGGUUAAGUGGUAAACGAUGUGGGAAGGCUUAGACAGCUAGGAGGUUGGCUUAGAAGCAGCCAUCCUUUAAAGAAAGCGUAAUAGCUCACUAGUCGAGUCGGCCUGCGCGGAAGAUGUAACGGGGCUCAAACCACACACCGAAGCUGCGGGUGUCACGUAAGUGACGCGGUAGAGGAGCGUUCUGUAAGCCUGUGAAGGUGAGUUGAGAAGCUUGCUGGAGGUAUCAGAAGUGCGAAUGCUGACAUGAGUAACGACAAUGGGUGUGAAAAACACCCACGCCGAAAGACCAAGGGUUCCUGCGCAACGUUAAUCGACGCAGGGUUAGUCGGUUCCUAAGGCGAGGCUGAAAAGCGUAGUCGAUGGGAAACAGGUUAAUAUUCCUGUACUUCUGGUUACUGCGAUGGAGGGACGGAGAAGGCUAGGCCAGCUUGGCGUUGGUUGUCCAAGUUUAAGGUGGUAGGCUGAAAUCUUAGGUAAAUCCGGGGUUUCAAGGCCGAGAGCUGAUGACGAGUCGUCUUUUAGAUGACGAAGUGGUUGAUGCCAUGCUUCCAAGAAAAGCUUCUAAGCUUCAGGUAACCAGGAACCGUACCCCAAACCGACACAGGUGGUCGGGUAGAGAAUACCAAGGCGCUUGAGAGAACUCGGGUGAAGGAACUAGGCAAAAUGGCACCGUAACUUCGGGAGAAGGUGCGCCGGCUAGGGUGAAGGAUUUACUCCGUAAGCUCUGGCUGGUCGAAGAUACCAGGCCGCUGCGACUGUUUAUUAAAAACACAGCACUCUGCAAACACGAAAGUGGACGUAUAGGGUGUGACGCCUGCCCGGUGCCGGAAGGUUAAUUGAUGGGGUUAGCGCAAGCGAAGCUCUUGAUCGAAGCCCCGGUAAACGGCGGCCGUAACUAUAACGGUCCUAAGGUAGCGAAAUUCCUUGUCGGGUAAGUUCCGACCUGCACGAAUGGCGUAACGAUGGCGGCGCUGUCUCCACCCGAGACUCAGUGAAAUUGAAAUCGCUGUGAAGAUGCAGUGUAUCCGCGGCUAGACGGAAAGACCCCGUGAACCUUUACUGUAGCUUUGCACUGGACUUUGAGCCUGCUUGUGUAGGAUAGGUGGGAGGCUUUGAAGCGUGGACGCCAGUUCGCGUGGAGCCAUCCUUGAAAUACCACCCUGGCAUGCUUGAGGUUCUAACUCUGGUCCGUAAUCCGGAUCGAGGACAGUGUAUGGUGGGCAGUUUGACUGGGGCGGUCUCCUCCUAAAGAGUAACGGAGGAGUACGAAGGUGCGCUCAGACCGGUCGGAAAUCGGUCGCAGAGUAUAAAGGCAAAAGCGCGCUUGACUGCGAGACAGACACGUCGAGCAGGUACGAAAGUAGGUCUUAGUGAUCCGGUGGUUCUGUAUGGAAGGGCCAUCGCUCAACGGAUAAAAGGUACUCCGGGGAUAACAGGCUGAUACCGCCCAAGAGUUCAUAUCGACGGCGGUGUUUGGCACCUCGAUGUCGGCUCAUCACAUCCUGGGGCUGAAGCCGGUCCCAAGGGUAUGGCUGUUCGCCAUUUAAAGUGGUACGCGAGCUGGGUUUAGAACGUCGUGAGACAGUUCGGUCCCUAUCUGCCGUGGACGUUUGAGAUUUGAGAGGGGCUGCUCCUAGUACGAGAGGACCGGAGUGGACGAACCUCUGGUGUUCCGGUUGUCACGCCAGUGGCAUUGCCGGGUAGCUAUGUUCGGAAAAGAUAACCGCUGAAAGCAUCUAAGCGGGAAACUUGCCUCAAGAUGAGAUCUCACUGGGAACUUGAUUCCCCUGAAGGGCCGUCGAAGACUACGACGUUGAUAGGCUGGGUGUGUAAGCGUUGUGAGGCGUUGAGCUAACCAGUACUAAUUGCCCGUGAGGCUUGACCAUAUAACACCCAAACA